rnacentral:rRNA from 1 species
CCUACGGGUGGCAGCAGUGGGGAAUAUUGGACAAUGGGCGAAAGCCUGAUCCAGCCAUGCCGCGUGUGUGAAGAAGGCCUUCGGGUUGUAAAGCACUUUCAGUGGGGAAGAAAGCCUUGGGGCUAAUACCCUCGAGGAAGGACAUCACCCACAGAAGAAGCACCGGCUAACUCCGUGCCAGCAGCCGCGGUAAUACGGAGGGUGCGAGCGUUAAUCGGAAUUACUGGGCGUAAAGCGCGCGUAGGCGGUCUGAUAAGCCGGUUGUGAAAGCCCCGGGCUCAACCUGGGAACGGCAUCCGGAACUGUCAGGCUAGAGUGCAGGAGAGGAAGGUAGAAGUCCCGGUGUAGCGGUGAAAUGCGUAGAGAUCGGGAGGAAUACCAGUGGCGAAGGCGGCCUUCUGGACUGACACUGACGCUGAGGUGCGAAAGCGUGGGUAGCAAACAGGAUUAGAUACCCUAGUAGUC